GAGUUUGGUUUUGUUUGGGUUUGUUCUAGGUAUGGUCCCAGGGAUCCCAGAUCAAACCAGGCCCCUGGGCCUAUCCUAAACAACCUAAACUC
rnacentral:pre_miRNA from 10 species